ensembl:lncRNA
GGGGGCUGCGGGUGCGAGCGGCAGCGGGAGCGGGCCGCGGCCCAGGCAGCCCAUCGGGCGACUCCAGCCACAGCGGGCUCGGGGGGCUGCACCCGCCCUGGGGUGCUGGGGGUUCAGCCCCCUGCCGUGCACCUCCCCGCAGCGGCCUCUGGGGGCAGUAGCCCCGCGGCCUCCAGGACCACGGCACCCCGUAUCUGGAAUGGCAGGGAUCCUGGGGGUGGGGACGGGGAGGGGGAGAGACGUGCACGUGGGGUGAAGGAGGGAAGGGGCAGUGAGCCGUUGGAACGGGAAUCAGGAAGGCGAUUGGAUUAAAACACCGGCCUCUUCUUAUUAAUCCUGCAUUUCAAAAGCUUGUAAAUCCUGUGCAGCCGGAGGAGAUAAAAGCCGGCUCAUCCCCAUCCCGGGGCUGACACGCUUGCAGUGACACAGGGUGGCUCAGCGGCCGGGCCUGUGUGCGCACACGCGUGUGCCUGGGGCCCACCCACCAGCCACCAGCCGGCGUCAGAGCCAGGAGAGAGGAGCACAGCUGCAGGUGUGUACCUAGGUACCGGGUGAUGUAAAUCCGUUGGGAUAUGCAUCCAAGUGGCGGGGCUAUGCAUCUGUCAAAGAGUGUACUCUUUGCUGUCUGCACACAGCUGUCCAGGCUCAGGAUGCAGCAGGUGUCUGCAGCAUCCAGGAGGAAGAAGACCCAAGAACAUCCAGCGACAGCCCUGGCCAGUUCCCUGAGCUCCAGCAGGAGGACCCAGCCAAUUGGUCCCCAACUCUCUGCUGGCUGUCUGUCACACAGAGGCAUCCUCUGCCCUGUAAGUGAUGGUGGGGGGGGUCACCCUGGCAUGUUGUCAGACCUGGCACAAGGACACUGGGAAGGUGUAGCUCCGUGUGUGUGUGUGUGUGUGUGUGUGUCCAUUACAGGCUUCUGAGUGCCAGGCCUGCCUGCAGCUUGUGUCUGAAUGGGUUUAUGCUCAACACAGGGAGCACCCGCAGUGCUGGUAUAAUUGUGUGUAAGGGACUGUGCUUUCUGCCCAGACGGUUAUGGUGCUUCUUUUUUUCUGUGUGUGUGUAUACAUGCAUGUGUGCAUGCCCCAACAGAUAACUUGCCUGAACAUGAGGGCUUUGGGGGGGGGUGCUGGCUUGGGGGAUGGUGUGUGGGUGGCCCCCACCCCAGCAUCCCUCACCAUCAUUAUCUCAGCAGGAGCAGCUCUUGCCCUGGGUCCCGCCCUCACUGUUUCAAGCAGCUGCUGCUUUCCCCCAAAUUAACCCCUCUGCUCCAUCUUCUCAUUUUCCUGCUGGGGGGCCUUGGGCUGGCUGGGGAGGGGUCUCGGGAGGGCAGUCCCCCCAGCAGGCAAGCUAAUCUUUCACAGACCCCAGCUCCCCCACCCCCCAGUCCACGGGGAUUCCUUUUCUUUCUUCAUUCCUGUUGCUGUGGAGGACAGGGAUAGUAUGAUUGGGUAUCAGUUUGCUCUUGUGACUGCGUGUGUGUUUGUGUGUAUGUGCAUGUGUGUGUGUUUGUGCACAUGCGUGUGUGACACACCAGGUGGGAGAGGAAGGGACUGGCUCUAGGAUGGGAAUGGAUCAGAAGCACUGUGACAGGGCCCUGGCUGCCUGGGAGGGGUGGGGCUGCUCUCUCAGUCUUAGUGUCUCAGCACCCGGGGCCUGAGUUCCCCUGGCAGCACAGAAGGGCCCAAAGAGUCUAAAGUGGCUUUUCCCAGCUGGGGAAGUCAUGGGUCCACCCAAGGCUUAUCCGAGGGCAACGAGGGAAGCUCAGCCUGGGCAGAGGGCAUGUAGCGUUCCCUCUCUGCUCAAAGGGCCCCAUCCAGGUAAAGGAGCUCCAGGAUCUCAACCGAGGUGGCUGAGGAGAGGGGGAAGCAGGAGGAUAGGUGAGAGAAGGGUGAAGGAAGGAGUUAAUCCCAGGAGGCCUUG